rnacentral:tRNA from 1 species
ACCCGAUGUCGAACAGGAGUUCCGCGCGUUCGUGGCGCGGGCGACCCCGGAGCUUUUCCGGGUCGCGUUC